rnacentral:rRNA from 1 species
UACGUAGGGUGCAAGCGUUGUCCGGAAUUAUUGGGCGUAAAGAGCUCGUAGGUGGUUUGUCGCGUUGUUCGUGAAAACUCACAGCUCAACUGUGAGCGUGCGGGCGAUACGGGCAGACUGGAGUACUGCAGGGGAGACUGGAAUUCCUGGUGUAGCGGUGGAAUGCGCAGAUAUCAGGAGGAACACCGGUGGCGAAGGCGGGUCUCUGGGCAGUAACUGACGCUGAGGAGCGAAAGCGAGGGGAGCAAACAGG